rnacentral:rRNA from 1 species
GCAGCCGCGGUAAUACGGAGGAUGCGAGCGUUAUCCGGAUUUAUUGGGUUUAAAGGGUGCGUAGGCGGAAGGUUAAGUCAGUGGUCAAACUGCGGAGCUCAACUCCGUAUCGCCAUUGAAACUGGUCUUCUUGAGUGAGUGAGAAGUAUGCGGAAUGCGUGGUGUAGCGGUGAAAUGCAUAGAUAUCACGCAGAACUCCGAUUGCGAAGGCAGCAUACCGGCACUCAACUGACGCUGAAGCACGAAAGCGUGGGUAUCGAACAGGAUUAGAUACCCC